CUGGCCCGUAGGAGCUCGUCAGUCGCUUGUGGCUGCUGAAGAGAAAGAAUCGGACGGAGAAGAAUGAAAAAUCACCUUGUUCUAGCAAAGCGAAAGAAAAAAACACCUCAAAAUAAGAACAAAAAAAAAAAAAAAAUAGGGCCCGCGAAGAGUUAAGGAUUAUCACUGUGUUCCGAGUCUUGAAAUUUCGCCCUGAGUUGCUGGUUUGCAUAACUACAGGAGGCUAAGAUAUGUGUGUACCUGUGUGCUGGGGGACCGAACCGAAUGUGUCAAUCUGAGAGGAAGUGAGGUGUGAGUUGUUUAUGAGGGCUCAGCUUUAAUACGAAUCAUGACUGUGUGCUUUACAAGAAACGCACAAACGACAAAGUAGUAGAAUUAAAUCUCUUCCUGAGAGUUUUUGACUUAUCUUCUUCAGACCCAGGAAAGCAUGCAUGCCUUUCCACUUCUCUUCACUCCCUCCCCAAUCAACCUGCUGCUAGAGACCCUCCUCAGUAAAUCGCUUCCAGACGGUCUCCCCAGCCAGUGAGUGCCGGGUCUCUAACUGUCAGCCCUUCUGACUCAGCGGAAAAUGCCCGCAAAGAGGACUACAGCCACCGAACCAGAAGAAGCAGCUUCAAUUCGAGCACUCAUCGCCACCACUAUCACCACCAUCACCCUCCCACCACACACACUCACACGCACAUACCCACGCACGCGCACGCGCGCACAGCCCCUGCUGUCAAUCACACACUCACGCCACAAGGCGCAUGCGCGUUGAUGGACUCCUGCCCGUACCGACCCCACGCCCUUUCCGUGCGUCACCCCGCCUGAUGGACCAAUAAGAGGGCGGGUUUGGGGGCCGGGCUACAAAAAACAGCCAAUGAGAGCGCGGUUGAAAGUCAAGCAUUGAGGGGAGUAAAUCCUUCCGUGGUCCACGUUCAGCCGCCCCCGCGAUGAUUUAUGCGUCUCUUUUAUUAUUUGUAACACUUUGGGAAG